rnacentral:tRNA from 7 species
GCCGCUUUAGCUCAGCUGGUAGAGCAUCGCAUUCGUAAUGCGAGGGCCGCAGGUUCGAGUCCUGCAAGCGGCACCA